GUGCUCCCUUUGGCAGCACAUAGACUAAAAUUGGAUCGAUACAGAGAAGGUUUGCAUGGACCCUGUGCAAGGAUGACGCAUGGAUUUGUGAAGCGGUCCAGAUUUUU
ensembl:snRNA U6 U6 spliceosomal RNA